UUGAUUAUUGAAGUUAAUUUA
rnacentral:misc_RNA from 1 species